GAUGAACGCUGGCGGCGUGCCUAAUACAUGCAAGUCGAGCGAACGGACGAGAAGCUUGCUUCUCUGAUGUUAGCGGCGGACGGGUGAGUAACACGUGGAUAACCUACCUAUAAGACUGGGAUAACUUCGGGAAACCGGAGCUAAUACCGGAUAAUAUUUUGAACCGCAUGGUUCAAAAGUGAAAGACGGUCUUGCUGUCACUUAUAGAUGGAUCCGCGCUGCAUUAGCUAGUUGGUAAGGUAACGGCUUACCAAGGCAACGAUGCAUAGCCGACCUGAGCGGGUGAUCGGCCACACUGGAACUGAGACACGGUCCAGACUCCUGCGGGAGGCAGCAGUAGGGAAUCUUCCGCGAUGGGCGAAAGCCUGACGGAGCAACGCCGCGUGAGUGAUGAAGGUCUUCGGAUCGUAGAACUCUGUUAUUAGGGAAGAACAUAAGUGUAAGUAACUGUGCACAUCUUGACGGUACCUAAUCAGAAAGCCACGGCUAACUACGUG
rnacentral:rRNA from 1 species